ensembl:lincRNA
CUGAGUGAGAUUCCUCCCUCGGCCCUUCUUGUUACUUAAUUUCUUUGGAUCUGUGGAUGGUAGAGUGAUUAUUCUGUACUUUGAGGCUAAUGUCCACUUAUAAAUGAGGACAUACCAUGUGUGUCUUUCUGGCCCUGGGUUACCUCACUCAGGAUGAUAUUUUCAUGAUCCCAUGGAGUUUCUUAAUUAACCUUUUUAUAUCAUAUAGCAUCUCCAGGUCACUGACAUAGGAGGGACUGAAGAACACUCUCAGAGCUGAGACAGGUUCUCUCAUAAUGUGGUCCUGGAGAGCCGCUGGGAGUUUCUAAAUGCCACUGUUCACAAGGGGAUCUGACCAUAGGCUCUUCCCAUCUCUCGUCGGAUCCCAGCAGGUUCCUUCCCAUGGUAACGGCUUUUGAAAACUACAGAACAUUUGUAAAAGAAGAAAAUCAUUUGUGAUCUACAAAUUUUGGUUCCUUUCAACCCACAUGUAACACUAAUGAGUUCAUGGACUGACAGCUACCUGUGCAAACUGCCUUGGACACACGCUGCCUCCCCUGACAGGCUCGACCAUGUGCUUGGGCCACUGGAAUUGAGUAGACUGACCGGACAUCUGUCACCUGUGAGUGAGAACUGUUGGUGCUUGCAGACUUUGGCUUGGCCUCCUUGCUUCUGCCGUAAAGGUCAAAGUUCAAGAUUGCCACUUCUUCGAUCCAGCAUCCUGAAGAGGACGAAUCAAGGAGGCCUGGCAUAGCUCCCAGUCCCAAGCAUAUUCCUUAGCCAACUUGCAGCUCCAGGGAGGAGUCUGUAGUUAUGUCUGUUUAUAUCACUGUCUGGGUGCAUAUACAUGUGUAUGUGCACUACAGCAUCCUUGUGAAAGGCCAAGAACUUUGAGAUGUAUACUCGCUCCUUCCUCCGUGAAACCGAAGGAUCUAACAGCUCACCAGCCUUGUGCAGUGCGUUUUUCCUGCCAAGCCAUCUUACUGGGCUUUAAAAAAUGUAUUUUGACCUUAGGGUUUUUGUUUUUGUUUUAGAUAGUCUCCCAUUGGCAUAGACCUCAACAAUUUGGCUCUCUGGCUCCCAAGCCCAGGGGAGCCUCACUUUGCACUCCCUACACUGGAAAUAUAAGCUCAUGCCACUACAGCUGGCUUUUGUGGGCUUCUGAGGCUCACACAGUCUCACUUACUGAGCCAGUCGCCCAGCCCAGCCACUAAGCUCUUGGAAGUUGUGGAGAAGCUGAGAUGUCCCUUUGUAGAAGCUGUGACAAACAGACCUACACACAAAUGUGGAGUCACUGUGCUGUGUGGCCAUCAGUCAACAACUGACCAAAUUCCUCCACUGACACCUAAGUCUUGAUGGAACUGAGACCUGACUGAGGACAGAGACUCGGGGAUGUCUGUAGCAUGCGUCUGACAGUGGCUCACCAACACUCCUCCCAUUGCUGGAGGUACUGAGCACUACAGACCCUCAUAGCCAACCCUUCCGUUGUUUCAGAAACACCUGCUCUUCCAUCACUACAUAUUUUUAAAAAUUAUUUUGUGCAUAUGGGUAUUUUUUUUAAUAUGGAAGGCUUUCACGG